rnacentral:tRNA from 1 species
GGGUGUAUAGCUCAGAUGGUUAGAGCGCAGUCCUGAUAAGACUGAGGUCCUACGUUCGAUUCGUAGUACACCCACCA